rnacentral:tmRNA from 1 species
GCCCUUCCCUUGGCCGUGCUUAGGCCUUAUAUUGGUUACGUCGGGCAACCGACUAUGACGAUAAACGCUAUACGGAAUAAUCGUUACGGACCCGGGGGCAGUGCCCGGCGCCUCCACCACUUUCUUUUCCGGGUCUUCGGCGGCUUCGGAACCAGGCAAGGGGGGGCGAAACAGGAUCGACGUGCGUGGUAAAGGUAUGGUUUUCGGCCGGCAUGGUACCCACCGUUAUCGGGCCAACACUAUGAAUGCCAACGAUAAUGAGGCAUUUGCAGUUGCCGCCUAACGGCUAAGCAACUACGGGGUCCGGGGGGCACCUGGCAACAGAAGCCCCCCACU